rnacentral:rRNA from 1 species
GACGUUGCGGGCGUGCUUACACAUGCAGUCGAACGAUGAAGCCCAGCUUGCUGGGUGGAUUAGUGGCGAACGGGUGAGUAACACGUGGGUGAUCUGCCCUGCACUUCGGGAUAAGCCUGGGAAACUGGGUCUAAUACCGGAUAGGACCUCGGGAUGCAUGUUCCGGGGUGGAAAGGUUUUCCGGUGCAGGAUGGGCCCGCGGCCUAUCAGCUUGUUGGUGGGGUAACGGCCCACCAAGGCGACGACGGGUAGCCGGCCUGAGAGGGCGACCGGCCACACUGGGACUGAGACACGGCCCAGACUCCUACGGGAGGCAGCAGUGGGGAAUAUUGCACAAUGGGCGCAAGCCUGAUGCAGCGACGCCGCGUGAGGGAUGACGGCCUUCGGGUUGUAAACCUCUUUCAGUACCGACGAAGCGCAAGUGACGGUAGGUACAGAAGAAGCACCGGCCAACUACGUGCCAGCAGCCGCGGUAAUACGUAGGGUGCGAGCGUUGUCCGGAAUUACUGGGCGUAAAGAGCUCGUAGGCGGUUUGUCGCGUCGUCUGUGAAAACCCGCAGCUCAACUGCGGGCUUGCAGGCGAUACGGGCAGACUUGAGUACUGCAGGGGAGACUGGAAUUCCUGGUGUAGCGGUGAAAUGCGCAGAUAUCAGGAGGAACACCGGUGGCGAAGGCGGGUCUCUGGGCAGUAACUGACGCUGAGGAGCGAAAGCGUGGGUAGCGAACAGGAUUAGAUACCCUGGUAGUCCACGCCGUACACGGUGGGCGCUAGGUGUGGGUUUCCUUCCACGGGAUCCGUGCCGUAGCUAACGCAUUAAGCGCCCCGCCUGGGGAGUACGGCCGCAAGGGCUAAAACUCAAAGGAAUUGACGGGGCCCGCACAAGCGGCGGAGCAUGUGGAUUACUCGAUGCACGCGAGAUCUUUACCUGGGUUUGACAUACACCGGACCGCCUCCAGAGAUGGGGUUCCUUGUGAUCGUGUACAGGUGGUGCAUGCCUGUCCGUCAGCUCAGUGUCUGAGAAUGUAGGUAGUCCCGCAUCGAGCGCACCAUUGUCCUGGAUGCAGAAGUAUGGUGCGAACUCGCUAGAAACUGGCAGUCAAUCGGAGUAAGGUGGACACUCAGUUCCUUAGACCCGUAAUGUUCG